AUUGAACGCUGGCGGCAGGCCUAACACAUGCAAGUCGAGCGGAUGAAGGGAGCUUGCUCCUGGAUUCAGCGGCGGACGGGUGAGUAAUGCCUAGGAAUCUGCCUGGUAGUGGGGGAUAACGUCCGGAAACGGGCGCUAAUACCGCAUACGUCCUGAGGGAGAAAGUGGGGGAUAUUCGGACCUCACGCUAUCAGAUGAGCCUAGGUCGGAUUAGCUAGUUGGUGGGGUAAAGGCCUACCAAGGCGACGAUCCGUAACUGGUCUGAGAGGAUGAUCAGUCACACUGGAACUGAGACACGGUCCAGACUCCUACGGGAGGCAGCAGUGGGGAAUAUUGGACAAUGGGCGAAUGCCUGAUCCAGCCAUGCCGCGUGUGUGAAGAAGGUCUUCGGAUUGUAAAGCACUUUAAGUUGGGAGGAAGGGCAGUAAGUUAAUACCUUGCUGUUUUGACGUUACCAACAGAAUAAGCACCGGCUAACUUCGUG
rnacentral:rRNA from 1 species